rnacentral:lncRNA from 1 species
CAGCUGGCUCCUUCCAGCUCUGUUUGCUUCAGGGAAAAGUGUCUGUCUGACUGAAACUGGUCCUCUGGUAAAUCUGGAACAGUUUGUCCAGAGCUUCAGAAAACUGAAUUCAGAUCAACCUACAUGCUUUUUUUUUCUCAAAAUCAAUUUGCUUUUUAAAAUUGACACUGGGUGUCUAAACCAAGGCCUUGUGCUCCUAGGGCAGACACUCACCCACUGAGCUACCUUCCUUCACUCCUGUCUAACUCCACGUCCUAACUCCACAUCCUAGAGACCCCAGCCCGUCCAAUGGAAAUGAUGUAAGUUGAACCAUUUGGUAAGAGUGUAUAUCCUAUUCUCCUUCUUGCUGAUAGAACCUUUGAGGAGAGAAAUACACAGCAGAAUAUCUGUAAUUAUAUAUAAACUGCCUGUAAAAAUGCAUAAAACAGGCAGAGCAAAGUUGCACGUCAUCCAACUGACCUCAUUUCUGGGGACAGUCAAGGGCCCAGUGAGAGAGUCCCUUAGCACAGUGGCCUUUACUUCCUUCUAGGAGGUAUUGCUCUCCAGUCUUUCUUCUUAUUGUAUUGCCUCACUCCCAAGUCAGUAAAUCACAGAAUCUUUAGAGACAGUGUGCACACCAUGUCCUUCCUGCUCAGUGAACAAAUGCCAGCUAAACUCUGUAACUGCAUUGAGCAAGUCUACCUAAGUUUCUUCUACAAACCCUUAGCUUUAUCCCCAACCUGUUUUGUGUAACAGCUAGUGAUUUUAUAGCCAUCAAGUCUCAGAGGAAAACCACCGAACCAUAGCGGAGCUCAGCAAAGUCAUCUUCCCGUCACUGAGCCUCUCUAGAGUCAGGGUUACAUGAUUCCAACCAGAUGUGCAUUGCAGCACUCAGGCAGACCCUCCCCCGGUGGGGAACUCCAGAGGUGGGGAUUAAACCUAUUAGAAAUCCUGUCUCAGCUUUCCCUUAACAUGGGAGUCCCAGCUGGACAA